rnacentral:rRNA from 2 species
GCAGGCGCGUAAAUUACCCACUUCUGACACAGAGAGGUAGUGACAAUAAAUAACAAUGACGGGCCUCUUCAGGUUUGUCACUUGGAAUGAGAGCAAUUUAAAUAAAUCAUCGAGUAACAAUUGGAGGGCAAGUCUGGUGCCAGCAGCCGCGGUAAUUCCAGCUCCAAUAGCGUAUACUAAUAUUGCUGCAGUUAAAAAGCUCGUAGUUGAAUUUCUGGUGACACGGUCUGGCCGGUUACUUAAUUGUGACUUGUGCCAUCGCCUUGUUGCCAUCUUUUGGUUUAACCAAUCUGGCAUUAGGUUGUCGGGUUGGUGAUACCAAUCGUUUACUGUGAAGAAAUUAGAGUGUUCAAAGCAGGCUUAUGCCGUUGAAUAUUUUAGCAUGGAAUAAUAAGAUAGGACUUUGGUGCUAUUUUGUUGGUUUGCGCACUAGAGUAAUGAUUAAUAGGGACAGUUGGGGAUAUUUGUACUAGGGAAUUAGAGGUGAAAUUCUUGGAUUUCCUUAUGACAAACGACUGCGAAAGCAUUUAUCAGGGAUGUUUUCAUUAAUCAAGAACGAAAGUUAGGGGAUCGAAGAUGAUUAGAUACCAUCGUAGUCUUAACCAUAAACUAUGCCGACUAGGGAUGGGCGGAGAUCUACUACGACUCCGUCCGCACCUUAUGAGAAAUCACAAGUCAUUGGGCUCCGGGGGGAGUAUGGUC